rfam:Ovis aries breed Texel chromosome 1, whole genome shotgun sequence.
UCCCUGGUAGCUCAGAUGGUAAAGCAUCUGCCUGCAAAGUGAAAGACCCAGGUUCGUUCCCUGGGUUGGGAA